rnacentral:tRNA from 2 species
GGUGAAAUGACUGAUAAUAGGUGAUAAACUGUAAAUUUAUUUAUGAGAAAUUUUCUCUUUUACCA